UUUCUUUCCUUGCACCCCGUUCCUUUGCCCCACAUUCAGUGUGAAAACUCACAGACAUGAGCAGCCCCUGAUGACUUCUUUCUGUACCCUUGGAUCCAUUUGGAUCGGAGCACCUGGAUAGGACCAGGAGCCAGAGGGAACCUCUUAGCUGCUGGCAGGAGGCUUGGAAGCCCAGCAGCUUUGAUUACAACAGGCAUGUUCUCCCAGACUCCUUCCAGGAAGAACUAGCUGUGAGGCAUAGUAGAGUCAGCAGAGAGCUUCCAGCUUUCAGCUCUGCCCCAGCGGCAGAGUCAGCCCAAAUUCCCACCAUUCCUGGGGAUGCCUGCAUUUACCUGGUUGCUGAGU
rnacentral:lncRNA from 1 species